GUCUCGUAGUCGAUGAUGUCCUUGGCUGCUGUCUUUGUCCGCGCCAGUUGACAGUAGGGCCAAAGCAUAAAUUCCUGCCUCAGUGGAGGGAACCUUAUGUGCGUUGGGUGCUCUCAUUAUCACCACCCACCCAAUUACCCAGACGUUUCCUAUCAUCACUCACCUCCUGUUUCCAGAGGGGAGAAAAAGAAAGAGACUUUCCUCAUCUAGAAUCAAGAACAGUAUUUUCCUCAUUCAAAAUGUCAUCUUUUACCACCCCCCCAGGCCUUGUUUAGGUCCAAUUUUUUUUUGUUUCAAGUACUGUAGCACUUUCGUUUUAUUUGACAAUUGUUGUCUACUUAUGGGUUAACUAGACUCAAAAGAUUCAUCUCGUGACUUACAGAUAAACUAUGCAAUUAGUUUUUGUUUUCGUCUAUAUUUAGUGCUUCAUGCAUAUGCCGUAAGAUUCGAUAUAACAGAAAUUUUGAAAAGUUUUUUAUUUUUACUGUGAACUAAACAAGGUGAAAAAGUCAAUAAAUACAGACGCCAAGAUAGCUUGUAUACAUCGACUGUGGGCCACCGAUGGAUCAAAAGGGAAAGGGAGCCCGUACUGGCCCAUGCGUACGUUGCCUACCUUUACAGCCCAGCCU
rnacentral:lncRNA from 1 species